rnacentral:antisense_RNA from 1 species
CGUUAUGGCGGGCCGUGCGUGGGACACCUUCGGGUGUGCCGGGACCCUGUACCCCGGUCGGCCAACCCGCGUACGGUUCGUCACCCUC